rnacentral:rRNA from 1 species
AAAGUCGAGGGGUAACAGGUGUAGCAAUACAUGCUGACGACCGGCGCACGGGUGCGUAACACGUAUAUAAUCUACCUUUUACUGGAGAAUAGCCCGAAGAAAUUCGGAUUAAUACUCCAUAAUAAUAUUGAGGGGCAUCUCUUGAUAUUUAAAGUUCAGACGGUAAAAGAUGAGUAUGCGCGAUAUUAGCUAGUUGGUGAGGUAACGGCUCACCAAGGCGACGAUAUCUAGGGGUACUGAGAGGUUACACCCCCACACUGGUACUGAGACACGGACCAGACUCCUACGGGAGGCAGCAGUAAGGAAUAUUGGACAAUGGUCGCAAGACUGAUCCAGCCAUGCCGCGUGCAGGAUGACUGCCCUAUGGGUUGUAAACUGCUUUUAUACGGGAAUAAACCCGGGUACGUGUACCCGGCUGAAUGUACUGUAAGAAUAAGGGUCGGCUAACUUCGUGCCAGCAGCCGCGGUAAGACGAAGGACCCAAGCGUUAUCCGGAUUCAUUGGGUUUAAAGGGUGCGUAGGCGGGUUGAUAAGUCAGUGGUGAAAGCCCAACGCUUAACGUUGGAACUGCCAUUGAUACUGUCGAUCUUGAAUGUGUUUGAUGUGGGCGGAAUAUGACAUGUAGCGGUGAAAUGCUUAGAUAUGUCAUAGAACACCGAUUGCGAAGGCAGCUCACAAAGCCACUAUUGACGCUGAGGCACGAAAGCGUGGGGAUCAAACAGGAUUAGAUACCCUGGUAGUCCACGCCGUAAACUUUGAUCACUCGCUGUUGGCGAUACACUGUCAGCGGCUAAGCGAAAGCGUUAAGUGAUCCACCUGGGGAGUACGGUCGCAAGACUGAAACUCAAAGGAAUUGACGGGGGCCCGCACAAGCGGUGGAGCAUGUGGUUUAAUUCGGUGAUACGCGAGGAACCUUACCAGGGCUUGAAAGUUAGCGACUUACCGUGAAAGCGGUGAUCCCUUCGGGGCGCGAAACUAGGUGCUGCAUGGCUGUCGUCAGCUCGUGCCGUGAGGUGUUGGGCUAAGUCCCGCAACGAGCGCAACCCCUACUUCUAGUUGCCAACAGGUAAUGCUGGGGACUCUAGAGGAACUGCCCGCGCAAGCGGUGAGGAAGGUGGGGACGACGUCAAGUCAUCACGGCCCUUACGUCCUGGGCUACACACGUGCUACAAUGGCGGAGACAACGGGCAGCUACACUGCGAAGUGAUGCUAAUCUCUAAACUCCGUCUCAGUUCGGAUUGAAGUCUGCAACUCGACUUCAUGAAGCUGGAAUCGCUAGUAAUCGCGUAUCAGCAAUGACGCGGUGAAUACGUUCCCGGGCCUUGUACACACCGCCCGUCAAACAAUGGAAGCUGGGAGUACCUAAAGUCAGUAGUCGCAAGACGCUGCCUAGGGUAAAACCGGUAACUGGUGUUAAGUCGAAACAAGGUA